UUGUGGGGUUGAGGACCGGCAAAAAGAGGAAACUUCUUAGUCGAAUGGUUUGGAAAGGCCAUGCACAGAAGGUAAAACACCUGUAGGCGAAAAGAAGUCAAUCGGGCUGGUAUCCAGAGUACUGCGAGACACGUGAAACCUUGCAGGAAGCAGGGGGGACCACCCUCCAAGGCAAAAUACUACUUGGCGACCGAUAGCGCAUAGUACCGUGAGGGAAAGGUGAAAAGAACCCCGGGAGGGGAGUGAAAUAGAACCUGAAACCGUAUGUCUACAAGCAGUCGAAGCACCUUAAGAGUGCGACGGCGUGCCUAUUGAAGAAUGAACCGGCGAGUUACAUUAUGUUGCGAGGUUAAGUGGGAGACACGGAGCCGAAGCGAAAGCGAGUCUUAAUAGGGCGACUAGUAACAUGGUGUAGACCCGAAACCGCAGUGAUCUAUCCAUGGUCAGGUUGAAGCGCAGGUAAAAAUGCGUGGAGGACCGAACCCGUGAGUGUUGAAAAACUUUGGGAUGAACCGUGGAUAGGGGUGAAAUGCCAAUCGAACGCGGAGAUAGCUGGUACUCCCCGAAAUAGCUUUAGGGCUAGCCUCAGGGAAGAUUAUAGACGGUAGAGCACUGAUCUGGCAAGGGGGCGUAAAGCCUACCGACCCUAGUCAAACUUCGAAUGGCUAUAAUUAAGACCCUGGGAGUCAGACUGCGAGUGAUAAGACCCGUAGUCAAGAGGGAAACAGCCCAGACCGCCGACUAAGGUCCCCAAUGCUGUACUAAGUGGAAAAGGAUGUAAGACUUCAUAAACAACCAGGAUGUUGGCUUAGAAGCAGCCACCAUUAAAAGAGUGCGUAAUAGCUCACUGGUCGAGAGGCCUUGCGCCGAAGAUGUCCGGGGCUCAAGUACAGAACCGAAGUCGCGGCAGGAUUAUAUAAUUCUGGGUAGGGGAGCGUUGUAUAUCCGACUGAAGGUGUACCGGAAGGAGCGCUGGAGGAUAUACAAGAGAGAAUGCCGGUAUGAGUAGCGAAAAGAACAGUGAGAAUCUGUUCCACCGAAAGCCUAAGGUUUCCUGAGCAACGCUCGUCGACUCAGGGUAAGUCGGGACCUAAGCCGAGGCAAAAAGCAUAGGCGAUGGACAACAGGUUAAUAUUCCUGUACCGCUUCAAAUCGUUUGAGCAAUGGAGUGACACAGAAGGUAGCUUGAGCACGCGAAUGGAUGUGCGUGUCGAAGGUGGUAGGUUGCAGUAUAGGCAAAUCCGUACUGUAUAAGACCGAGAACUGAUAGAUAGACGAUACUUCGGUAAAGUCAAAUUCAAGUGAGCCAUGCUGUCGAGAAAAGCUUCUAGUGAGAGAUGAGGCGCCCGUACCGAAACCGACACAGGUAGGCGGGGAGAGAAUCCUAAGGUGCGCGGGACAACCCUCGUUAAGGAACUCGGCAAAUUGUAUCCGUAACUUAGGGAUAAGGAUAGCCGGAGGAUGUGAAGGGAUUUACUUCUGGAGCGUCAGCCGGUGGCACAAGAGAGGCCCAAGCGACUGUUUAGCACAAACACAGGUGCCUGCAAAAGAGAAAUCUGACGUAUAGGUGCUGACACCUGCCCGGUGCUGGAAGGUUAAGAGGAGGGCUUAGAGGAAACUCGAAGGCUUGAAUUGAAGCCCCAGUAAACGGCGGCCGUAACUAUAACGGUCCUAAGGUAGCGAAAUUCCUUGUCGGGU
rnacentral:rRNA from 1 species